GUGGUGUUGGGGCAUGCUGCGGCGGCCGCGAGGCCCCGCAGGCCCCCAAAGACAGUGGCGGGCCGGCAGCGGGCUCCGAGCGCAGUAAGCAGCAACGCCCUCGCUCUGGACGCCCCCGCCGGCGCCCUGCCCGCAGAGAAAACCCCCCCUUUCACAAGGUUGACCUCGGAUCAGGUAGGACUACCCGCUGAACUUAAGCAUAUCAAUAAGCGGAGGAAAAGAAACCAACAGGGAUUGCCCCAGUAACGGCGAGUGAAGCGGCAACAGCUCAGAUUUGGAAUCUGGCCCCCAGGGCCCGAGUUGUAAUCUGGAGAGGAUGCUUCUGGCGCGGCGCCUUCCGAGUUCCCUGGAACGGGACGCCGGAGAGGGUGAGAGCCCCGUACGGUCGGACGCCCAGCCUCUGUGAAGCUCCUUCGACGAGUCGAGUAGUUUGGGAAUGCUGCUCAAAAUGGGAGGUAAAUUUCUUCUAAAGCUAAAUACCGGCCAGAGACCGAUAGCGCACAAGUAGAGUGAUCGAAAGAUGAAAAGCACUUUGAAAAGAGG
rnacentral:rRNA from 1 species